GUGUCAGCCGCCGCGGUAAUACAGAGACUGCAAGCGUUAUUCGGAUUCACUGGGCGUAAAGGGUGCGCAGGCAGCUGUGUGUGUGAGGUGUGAAAGCCCAGGGCUUAACCCCGGAAUUGCACCUCAAACUACAUAGCUAGAGCAUUGGAGAGGGUAGCAGAAUUCAUGGUGUAGCAGUGAAAUGCGUAGAUAUCAUGAGGAAUACCAGAGGCGAAGGCGGCUACCUGGACAAUUGCUGACGCUCAGGCACGAAAGCGUGGGGAGCAAAAGGGAUUAGAAACCCCGGUAGUCC
rnacentral:rRNA from 1 species